GGCCGUAGGUGGUCGCGGCCACCGCAGCCGGGCGGGAGGUUGCGACGGCCAGUAAUGCCCGGGAAACUCCUCUGGGGAGACAUAAUGGAGCUCGAGGCACCCUUGGAAGAGUCCGAGAGCCAGAGGAAGGAGCGGCAAAAGGUGUGCUGCGGCUGGGCCGGAAGGGGAAAGACCUGUCAGGACCGGGGGCGAGUUUCCGAGGGACAGCUUCCCCUUCGCCGAGCUCAGCCCUCCGAGGUCCCAGGGACCAUUCCCCAUCGCCGCACUCCCGGACCUGGAGGAGAACGGCCCGGCUUCCGUGGUACUUCAGCCCCACGUCGGCCUCUGCGCCCGGAUCUCUCCCGAGAGAUGGGCAGACUUGAGCUCCCAUCGCCGUGGAAUCUGCUCGUGUUCCCUUUCUUAGGCGGCGAGUCCCUUCAUUUGGUUUUCCGGGGCCUUCGAAGAGUUGAGACAGAGAUGAUGAUGGCUUUGCCUAUGUGUUGCCUCCCGGUCGCGGUGUCGUGUCUGCAGCAGUCUCGGGAAAAGCUAUCCUAGGGGGUUACAAUCCUCCAUGAUUGGGUAAUAGAGGCUUAAGGAACAGUGUCAAAGCCAGGCUUGCCAGGGGUUGGCUGUGAUGGAGUUCGUGGGGGUUGUAUUACGAAUAGCCCUUACUGUCAGUAUUUUCAAUCCACUGUGGUUUUUAUUGAGGCUAAUCGUGCCAGACUCUUAGCUGAGGACCGAGGAGAUAAAACUAAUUAAGUAUGCAGAAUAGUCCCUGCCCACCAGGAGCCUGUAGAGGUUCUAUCCCCACCUCCGUCCAAGACAUUAAGAAAGAAAG
rnacentral:lncRNA from 1 species